UCGUACUCCCCACGAAGCCUCUGGCGGCGGGCAAAGCCUUCGUCCUCCUCCGACCUCCCGUCGCCCCGUUGGUAGGCAAAGCCUCUCCCUUGGAAGUCUUGCUCUCGCGAGAGUCCCCGCGCGGAUCUGUUCCGGAAAAGUGUCCCUACAUGGUUUCAUCUCCCUGGGUGCACGUGUCUACUUGAAUCCGUGCCUCUUGAUUAUUUCGGCGCCUAUGCCUAUCGGAGAUCGAUUAUUGCGCUUCUUCUCCUCCCUCCUUCAUUUGGGAAGAUUCGAGAUAGGUUCCGUCUUGUUCUCGUCGCUAUUGCCCGCGCGAUGUUCGCGGUAAGGUUCCAAAGGGUUCUUGCCGUGGAAGGGUCUAUGGGUGCUGCGCUAGGGGUCUUGACACCGGGUAGAGUGUGACCUUUUGGUGGAGCCUCUCAAGGAACAAGGGUUCAUUUUGGCCACGCUUCUGGGUCCGUCUGCGUUCUUUUUCGACGGCGGAGAUGGCCAUCACUACAUUGUGGCCAUGGAAGAUGCUUGAAGCUAACGAAAGAAAGGUUGGUAAAGUUCGAUUUAUACCAACAUACAGUGAGCCUGAAGAAGACUUGGAUAACAAGUGCAUGAACCGAGCGGUCUCUAAAAGAGUGGUUAAUCAAAAGAGGCAAACUGCAGUGAACCAGACAAGCAUGAUAAAUAGAUUGAAGAGAGACUAGAAGAUGGGUGUUCUUGUAAGACGACUUUACUAGAGAAGGAACUUCAGUGUGACGACUCCUUCAUUCAAGCCAUGGAUGAGAAGGUAGAUAGCAUUGAUCAAAGUAAAUGUUAAGCACACUACAUUUCCAAUGCUUAUUCUUCUCAAGGCAGACAGAGAAAGAGAAGAGAGAAAAAGAAGUGCCUACAGGAGAGAGAGAGAGAGAGAGAGAAACAGAAAAAUUUGUGGUUGGCUGGACAAACAAGUAUGACCACUUUUACAGGUGAAGAGAAGUGUCGACUUCUGUUUCAUUGGACAUCUUCAUGCUAACAUCACUGGACCACAAGCAUAAUGAGAGAGAGGUCUUAAACGACUGGAUUUCGGUGCAGUUGACAUGGUACUCGGCCUGAAGGGAUGAAGAAUCACACAGAGGCCUGGAAGGAUGUGCCAGGUCACGGCAGAAGAACCACUUGGGUUGUUCAGCUUCAGCAAUCAUUCGCAGUAUCCGCUUCUCCUCCCUCAUCUCUUUGAUUCGCUGCAGCUGCCUGAACCUCUCUUGCAGCAAUGCGAUGGAUGAGCAGCGGACUGUAGUAUCAUUACUUUGCCUUCCCAUGGAUCGACCGAAAUUGAUUCCACAAUCGGGAAUGGGUGGGGUUGUGUUGCAGUGGGAGUGAUUUGUUUUUUUGGGGGGGAUUUCACAGGGUGUCUGGGAGGGAGUCAUGAAUUUAUAGGGAGCACGAGUUGUCUUCUUCCUUUCAUCCAUUGCAUGUCUCCUUAGCACUUGGUUGAUUCGGGACGAAUGUAAAAGAGAGAGGAGAAUCAGCAUUGGAGGUGCAAAGUCCAAGAAGGCAAGGCUUUUGUGGCUUUCUAAGGAGUUGGGUUUGGUUAAUUUGGAUCCAUGCAAAAAGACCUCUGAAUGGGGAACAGGAUCGGGAGAAAAGUCCAAAGGUUGGUGGAUUUAGCAUUUGGAGGGGCUUCUCCAAGGGAAUAACAGGUAAUUCUUACCUAUCACUUUGCCAUGCAGGAGAUGGUACUUUUUUUGUUAGUGCUUGUAAGCGUGCUCUUGCAGGUACCCAAAGGUGGAUAACUACUUCCAGACAUGGUUAUUCAUGCCUUCCAGCUUCCAUGCAUUAAAAUUUGAAUGUUCUGGACGGGGCUAAGUGAUCGUGAGAUGUGUUGCAGGUUGUGUUCAUAUCCUUGAUGCGUGAACAUUUCCAGGCUUGCGUGAGGGGGCAUUUGGUGGGGGAAACACUGGUGUUGGAAGGGGAAUAUAUCUUGGGUCUGAUGAUGUCGUGUGGAGAAGAGUGUAUUAGGCUGUUCCUUUUCCAAAUCUACGCACAUCUUUUCUCCCACUUUAUUUUGUCCGGUGUGAUUGGAUGGAAAUGGCAUGCAGCCUCUGCAGAGCUUCCUGGUGGACUGUGAAAACUAACAGGGCACCUGCUUUUCUAUCUUAUCCUGCCUCCAUUCCAUUCCUUAUUGCCAAUCUCAAGAAACCUUUGUGUUUAUUUUCUUUUCAAUCUCUUCGAUGGGAGGCUUGGAAUCCAUCCACACUCUGAUCAUAGGCUUAGUUGGUGGAUGUUGAUCUCUUUUUCUUCUGAACCAGUUUCCUUUUGGCUUCGGUCGAGUGCAAAAUGUGGUGCCUAAAAUGACAUUUCAAUGCUUCUCGUGCCGUAUUCUCACAUUCAUCUCAUCUCAUCUUAUGAUCGGAUCUGUUUUGGGGUGUUAUUAAAGACCAACCUUUGGAUGAAGAUUUAUGAAUCCUUAAGGUUUUGAUUUCUGAAUUGCUGCUGGAAAAAGUGAGUGAAAAUUUAUUGCUUUUUAACAGGAUUGGACAUCUGGUUAUGGUCAUAUUCUUGGAUUAUCUCUAGUGCAAUCAAUCCAUAUCAAAUUUAGCUUCUUGCUAAGGCAGAGUCCCCCCUAGAGGUGGAAAGAAGAUUUGCUCAAUUAGGGUGGAAACAAGUGGAAGAUUACAUGUAUGCUUCACCAUAUUUCUGUCCGACCAACUUGAAGAAGAAGAAGAAGAAGAGUUUGAUACUUGCUUUGACACCUGAGCAUGAUGGUUGUGCAUGCAGGUGCACUUCUUCGUCUAUGUAAUUUGCAUGUAGGAUCUGAUGCAUUAAGUUGUGCCCGUGCACUUCUUCCUCAGGUGCACUUCUUUUGUCUCUGAUUUAUGGAACGGGAACGGCUCGGCCUACCACCAACACAUCUUCUCACUAGGUUGUAGAUUGUUAGGGCUUUUUUUCUGAGCUUUUGAAUAAUAUUUAUUGAGUCUGUUUAA